rnacentral:rRNA from 1 species
UAGGGAAUCUUCGGCAAUGGGGGGAACCCUGACCGAGCAACGCCGCGUGAGUGAAGAAGGUUUUCGGAUCGUAAAGCUCUGUUGUUAAGGAAGAACGAGUGUGAGAAUGGAAAGUUCAUGCUGUGACGGUACUUAACCAGAAAGGGACGGCUAACUACGUGCCAGCAGCCGCGGUAAUACGUAGGUCCCGAGCGUUGUCCGGAUUUAUUGGGCGUAAAGCGAGCGCAGGCGGUUAGAAAAGUCUGAAGUGAAAGGCAGUGGCUCAACCAUUGUAGGCUUUGGAAACUGUUUAACUUGGGUGCAGAAGGGGGGAGUGGAAUUCCAUGUGUAGCGGUGAAAUGCGUAGAUAUAUGGAGGAACACCGGUGGCGAAAGCGGCUCUCUGGUCUGUAACUGACGCUGAGGCUCGAAAGCGUGGGGAGCGAACAGG